CCAGACUCCUACGGGAGGCAGCAGUGGGGGAUAUUGCACAAUGGGGGGAACCCUGAUGCAGCGACGCCGCGUGGGUGAAGGAGUAUUUCGGUAUGUAAAGCCCUAUCGGCAGGGAAGAAAUUGGACGGUACCUGACUAAGAAGCCCCGGCUAACUACGUGCCAGCAGCCGCGGGAAUACGUAGGGGGCAAGCGUUAUCCGGAUUUACUGGGUGUAAAGGGAGCGUAGACGGCAGUGCAAGUCCGGAGUGAAAGCCCGGGGCUCAACCCUGGGACUGCUCUGGAAACUGUAAAGCUGGAGUGCGGGAGGGGCAGGCGGAAUUCCUGGUGUAGCGGUGAAAUGCGUAGAUAUCAGGAGGAACACCGGCGGCGAAGGCGGCCUGCUGGACCGUAACUGACGUUGAGGCUCGAAAGCGUGGGGAGCAAACAGGAUUAGAUACCCGUGUA
rnacentral:rRNA from 1 species